CUGCGCACUAGGGGUGUGUCGUGUAUUGGAUUUUUGUGUGACGACAAUAGUGCGGUCGUAACUAGUCCUUAUAGCUACUGCUGUCUGCAGAUAUUGCAAGGAAAAUCUGGGGGGGAAAAGUAUAAAACUUCUCAUUCUCGAGCUAAACAGGCUCUUCAGAACUUACUAUUAAUUCCCUCUCCCACAAUCCGUAUGCUCACUAUUGACUUUGCUGGUGACGUCAACCAUUUCUCUGCUGCGCUGUGCUGCCUUUGCUCUGAGUGGUGCAGCAGGACAGGCAAUGGUUCUGGACUGAUGGCUCCAAAUUUGAUUACCACAAGUGGAAUAAAGGAGAGCCCAAUAACUAUCAAGGUGCCAUUGAUUCAUGCAUUUUGAUGAACUGGGCAGGUACUGUAAGCCCACUGUCAUUUCACUGAUCUAUUCAUCAAAUUAACGUUUUCAUAGUACAUUUGACAAAUCUCAGAUACAGCCAAACGUACACUAUUCUGUUUUGUAUGCAUUUGCGUUGAUUUUAAUAAAUUUAUGUUCUGUUUCCUCUUCAGAUGAGAAAGGUUGGAAUGAUUCAGCUGGUAGAGACAAUGUCUUUCCCUCUGUGUGCUCCCUAAGAACCUUUUUCAAAUAAAUGUUCUGUUUACUGUUCAAACAAGUCAU
rnacentral:lncRNA from 1 species